rnacentral:rRNA from 1 species
UCCUACGGGUGGCUGCAGCAAGGAAUAUUGGGCAAUGGCCGCAAGGCUGACCCAGCGACGCCGCGUGGGGGAUGACGGCUUUCGGGUUGUAAACCCCUUUUCCCAAGGACGAAGAUGACGGUACUGGGGAAGAAGCCCCGGCUAACUACGUGCCAGCAGCCGCGGUAAUACGUAGGGGGCGAGCGUUGUCCGGAAUUACUGGGCGUAAAGCGCACGUAGGUGGCGCGUCAAGAUGGGCGUGAAGUCCCCGGGCUUACCUCGGGGGGGUCGUCCGUGACUGGCGGGCUAGGGUGUGGGAGAGGCAGGUGGAAUUCCCGGUGGAGCGGUGAAAUGCGUAGAGAUCGGGAGGAACACCAGUGGCGAAGGCGACCUGCUGGGCCACUACCGACACUGAGGUGCGAAAGCGUGGGGAGCGAACCGGAUUAGAUACCCGGGUAGUCCACGCCCUAAACGAUGGGUACUAGGCGUGGGGGGUAUCGACCCCCUCCGUGCCGGAGCUAACGCGCGAAGUACCCCGCCUGGGGAGUACGGCCGCAAGGUUG